rnacentral:rRNA from 1 species
UGAAACAUCUUAGUACCCGGAGGAAGAGAAAGAAAAUUCGAUUCCCUUAGUAGCGGCGAGCGAAACGGGAAGAGCCCAAACCAACAAGCUUGCUUGUUGGGGUUGUAGGACACUCUAUACGGAGUUACAAAGGACGACAUUAGACGAAUCAUCUGGAAAGAUGAAUCAAAGAAGGUAAUAAUCCUGUAGUCGAAAAUGUUGUCUCUCUUGAGUGGAUCCUGAGUACGACGGAGCACGUGAAAUUCCGUCGGAAUCUGGGAGGACCAUCUCCUAAGGCUAAAUACUCUCUAGUGACCGAUAGUGAACCAGUACCGUGAGGGAAAGGUGAAAAGCACCCCGGAAGGGGAGUGAAAUAGAACCUGAAACCGUGUGCUUACAAGUAGUCAGAGCCCGUUAAUGGGUGAUGGCGUGCCUUUUGUAGAAUGAACCGGCGAGUUACGAUUUGAUGCAAGGUUAAGCAGUAAAUGUGGAGCCGUAGCGAAAGCGAGUCUGAAUAGGGCGUUUAGUAUUUGGUCGUAGACCCGAAACCAGGUGAUCUACCCUUGGUCAGGUUGAAGUUCAGGUAACACUGAAUGGAGGACCGAACCGACUUACGUUGAAAAGUGAGCGGAUGAACUGAGGGUAGCGGAGAAAUUCCAAUCGAACCUGGAGAUAGCUGGUUCUCUCCGAAAUAGCUUUAGGGCUAGCCUCAAGUGAUGAUUAUUGGAGGUAGAGCACUGUUUGGACGAGGGGCCCCUCUCGGGUUACCGAAUUCAGACAAACUCCGAAUGCCAAUUAAUUUAACUUGGGAGUCAGAACAUGGGUGAUAAGGUCCGUGUUCGAAAGGGAAACAGCCCAGACCACCAGCUAAGGUCCCAAAAUAUAUGUUAAGUGGAAAAGGAUGUGGCGUUGCCCAGACAACUAGGAUGUUGGCUUAGAAGCAGCCAUCAUUUAAAGAGUGCGUAAUAGCUCACUAGUCGAGUGACACUGCGCCGAAAAUGUACCGGGGCUAAACAUAUUACCGAAGCUGUGGAUUGUCCUUUGGACAAUGGUAGGAGAGCGUUCUAAGGGCGUUGAAGCAUGAUCGUAAGGACAUGUGGAGCGCUUAGAAGUGAGAAUGCCGGUGUGAGUAGCGAAAGACGGGUGAGAAUCCCGUCCACCGAUUGACUAAGGUUUCCAGAGGAAGGCUCGUCCGCUCUGGGUUAGUCGGGUCCUAAGCUGAGGCCGACAGGCGUAGGCGAUGGAUAACAGGUUGAUAUUCCUGUACCACCUAUAAUCGUUUUAAUCGAUGGGGGGACGCAGUAGGAUAGGCGAAGCGUGCGAUUGGAUUGCACGUCUAAGCAGUAAGGCUGAGUAUUAGGCAAAUCCGGUACUCGUUAAGGCUGAGCUGUGAUGGGGAGAAGACAUUGUGUCUUCGAGUCGUUGAUUUCACACUGCCGAGAAAAGCCUCUAGAUAGAAAAUAGGUGCCCGUACCGCAAACCGACACAGGUAGUCAAGAUGAGAAUUCUAAGGUGAGCGAGCGAACUCUCGUUAAGGAACUCGGCAAAAUGACCCCGUAACUUCGGGAGAAGGGGUGCUCUUUAGGGUUAACGCCCAGAAGAGCCGCAGUGAAUAGGCCCAAGCGACUGUUUAUCAAAAACACAGGUCUCUGCUAAACCGUAAGGUGAUGUAUAGGGGCUGACGCCUGCCCGGUGCUGGAAGGUUAAGAGGAGUGGUUAGCUUCUGCGAAGCUACGAAUCGAAGCCCCAGUAAACGGCGGCCGUAACUAUAACGGUCCUAAGGUAGCGAAAUUCCUUGUCGGGUAAGUUCCGACCCGCACGAAAGGCGUAACGAUUUGGGCACUGUCUCAACGAGAGACUCGGUGAAAUCAUAGUACCUGUGAAGAUGCAGGUUACCCGCGACAGGACGGAAAGACCCCGUGGAGCUUUACUGUAGCCUGAUAUUGAAAUUCGGCACAGCUUGUACAGGAUAGGUAGGAGCCUUUGAAACGUGAGCGCUAGCUUACGUGGAGGCGCUGGUGGGAUACUACCCUAGCUGUGUUGGCUUUCUAACCCGCACCACUUAUCGUGGUGGGAGACAGUGUCAGGCGGGCAGUUUGACUGGGGCGGUCGCCUCCUAAAAGGUAACGGAGGCGCUCAAAGGUUCCCUCAGAAUGGUUGGAAAUCAUUCAUAGAGUGUAAAGGCAUAAGGGAGCUUGACUGCGAGACCUACAAGUCGAGCAGGGUCGAAAGACGGACUUAGUGAUCCGGUGGUUCCGCAUGGAAGGGCCAUCGCUCAACGGAUAAAAGCUACCCCGGGGAUAACAGGCUUAUCUCCCCCAAGAGUUCACAUCGACGGGGAGGUUUGGCACCUCGAUGUCGGCUC